rnacentral:rRNA from 1 species
UACGUAGGGGCCUAGCGUUGUCCGGAUUUAUUGGGCGUAAAGAGCUCGUAGGCGGUUCGGUAAGUCAGGUGUGAAAUCUCCACGCUCAACGUGGAGGCGCCACCUGAAACUGCCGUGACUCGAGUCCGGUAGGGGAGUGGUGGAAUUCCGGGUGUAGUGGUGAAUGCGUAGAGAUCCGGAGGAACCCAGAGGCGAAGGCGGCGCCCUGGC